UGAGGAAUAUUGGUCAAUGGGCGAGAGCCUGAACCAGCCAAGUAGCGUGAAGGAUGACUGCCCUAUGGGUUGUAAACUUCUUUUAUAAAGGAAUAAAGUCGGGUAUGCAUACCCGUUUGCAUGUACUUUAUGAAUAAGGAUCGGCUAACUCCGUGCCAGCAGCCGCGGUAAUACGGAGGAUCCGAGCGUUAUCCGGAUUUAUUGGGUUUAAAGGGAGCGUAGAUGGAUGUUUAAGUCAGUUGUGAAAGUUUGCGGCUCAACCGUAAAAUUGCAGUUGAUACUGGCAGUCUUGAGUACAGUAGAGGUGGGCGGAAUUCGUGGUGUAGCGGUGAAAUGCUUAGAUAUCACGAAGAACUCCGAUUGCGAAGGCAGCUCACUGGACUGCAACUGACACUGAUGCUCGAAAGUGUGGGUAUCAAACAGGAUUAGAUACCCUGGUAGUCCACACAGUAAACGAUGAAUACUCGCUGUUUGCGAUAUACGGUAAGCGGCCAAGCGAAAGCGUUAAGUAUUCCACCUGGGGAGUACGCCGGCAACGGUGAAACUCAAAGGAAUUGACGGGGGCCCGCACAAGCGGAGGAACAUGUGGUUUAAUUCGAUGAUACGCGAGGAACCUUACCCGGGCUUAAAUUACAUUUGAAUAAUCUGGAAACAGUUUAGCCGUAAGGCAAAUGUGAAGGUGCUGCAUGGUUGUCGUCAGCUCGUGCCGUGAGGUGUCGGCUUAAGUGCCAUAACGAGCGCAACCCUUAUCUUCAGUUACUAACAGGUCAUGCUGAGGACUCUGGAGAGACUGCCGUCGUAAGAUGUGAGGAAGGUGGGGAUGACGUCAAAUCAGCACGGCCCUUACGUCCGGGGCUACACACGUGUUACAAUGGGGGGUACAGAAGGCAGCUACCUGGUGACAGGAUGCUAAUCCCAAAAACCUCUCUCAGUUCGGAUCGAAGUCUGCAACCCGACUUCGUGAAGCUGGAUUCGCUAGUAAUCGCGCAUCAGCCAUGGCGCGGUGAAUACGUUCCC
rnacentral:rRNA from 1 species